CCUACGGGGGGCUGCAGUGGGGAAUAUUGCACAAUGGGCGCAAGCCUGAUGCAGCCAUGCCGCGUGUGUGAAGAAGGCCUUCGGGUUGUAAAGCACUUUCAGCGGGGAGGAAGGCGGUGAGGUUAAUAACCUCAUCGAUUGACGUUACCCGCAGAAGAAGCACCGGCUAACUCCGUGCCAGCAGCCGCGUUAAUACGGAGGGUGCAAGCGUUAAUCGGAAUUACUGGGCGUAAAGCGCACGCAGGCGGUCUGUCAAGUCGGAUGUGAAAUCCCCGGGCUCAACCUGGGAACUGCAUUCGAAACUGGCAGGCUAGAGUCUUGUAGAGGGGGGUAGAAUUCCAGGUGUAGCGGUGAAAUGCGUAGAGAUCUGGAGGAAUACCGGUGGCGAAGGCGGCCCCCUGGACAAAGACUGACGCUCAGGUGCGAAAGCGUGGGGAGCAAACAGGAUUAGAUACCCUGGUAGUC
rnacentral:rRNA from 1 species